GACAGAGGGUGCAAACGUUGUUCGGAAUUACUGGGCGUAAAGCGCGUGUAGGCGGCUUGGUAAGUCGGGUGUGAAAUCUUGGAGCUUAACUCCGAAACUGCAUUCGAUACUGCCGUGCUUGAGGACUGGAGAGGAGACUGGAAUUUACGGUGUAGCGGUGAAAUGCGUAGAUAUCGUAAGGAAGACCAGUGGCGAAGGCGGGUCUCUGGACAGUUCCUGACGCUGAGGCACGAAGGCCAGGGGAGCAAACGGG
rnacentral:rRNA from 1 species